AGAGUUUGAUCCUGGCUCAGGAUGAACGCUAGCGGCAGGCCUAACACAUGCAAGUCGAGGGGUAACAUAGAGUGCUUGCACUUUGAUGACGACCGGCGCACGGGUGAGUAACGCGUAUACAAUCUGCCUCAUACUAGGGGAUAGCCCAGAGAAAUUUGGAUUAAUACCCUAUAGUAUCAUUUAGAGUCAUCUCUUUAUGAUUAAAGGUUACGGUAUGAGAUGAGUAUGCGUUCUAUUAGUUAGUAGGUGAGGUAACGGCUCACCUAGACCACGAUAGAUAGGGGCCCUGAGAGGGGGAUCCCCCACACUGGUACUGAGACACGGACCAGACUCCUACGGGAGGCAGCAGUGAGGAAUAUUAGACAAUGGGCGAAAGCCUGAUCUAGCCAUGCCGCGUGCAGGAUGACGGCCCUAUGGGUUGUAAACUGCUUUUAUACAGGAAGAAAAAACUCUACGUGUAGAGUCUUGACGGUACUGUAAGAAUAAGGAUCGGCUAACUCCGUGCCAGCAGCCGCGGUAAUACGGAGGAUCCAAGCGUUAUCCGGAAUUAUUUGGGUUUAAAGGGUCCGUAGGUGGACAAUUAAGUCAGAGGUGAAAUCCUGCAGCUCAACUGUAGAAUUGCCUUUGAAACUUGGUUGUCUUGAGUCAUUAUGAAGUGGUUAGAAUGUGUAGUGUAGCGGUGAAAUGCAUAGAUAUUACACAGAAUACCAAUUGCGAAGGCAGAUCACUAAUAAUGUACUGACACUGAUGGAACGAAAGCGUGGGUAGCGAACAGGAUUAGAUACCCUGGUAGUCCACGCCGUAAACGAUGGUCACUAGCUGUUCGGACUUCGGUCUGAGUGGCUAAGCGAAAGUGAUAAGUGACCCACCUGGGGAGUACGUUCGCAAGAAUGAAACUCAAAGGAAUUGACGGGGGCCCGCACAAGCGGUGGAGCAUGUGGUUUAAUUCGAUGAUACGCGAGGAACCUUACCAGGGCUUAAAUGUAGAGUGACAGGUCUAGAGAUAGAUUUUUCUUCGGACACUUUACAAGGUGCUGCAUGGUUGUCGUCAGCUCGUGCCGUGAGGUGUCAGGUUAAGUCCUAUAACGAGCGCAACCCCUGUUGUUAGUUGCCAGCGAGUAAUGUCGGGAACUCUAGCAAGACUGCCAGUGCAAACUGUGAGGAAGGUGGGGAUGACGUCAAAUCAUCACGGCCCUUACGUCCUGGGCUACACACGUGCUACAAUGGUAGGUACAGAGAGCAGCCAAUGCGUGAGCAUGAGCGAAUCUACAAAACCUAUCUCAGUUCGGAUCGGAGUCUGCAACUCGACUCCGUGAAGCUGGAAUCGCUAGUAAUCGGAUAUCAGCCAUGAUCCGGUGAAUACGUUCCCGGGCCUUGUACACACCGCCCGUCAAGCCAUGGAAGUUGGGAGUGCCUGAAGUCCGUCACCGCAAGGAGCGGCCUAGGGUAAAAUCGAUAACUAGGGCUAAGUCGUAACAAGGUA
rnacentral:rRNA from 1 species